CCUGGCUUCUCCUCCCUUAUCUCCUGCCCAGGAGGCAGGGGAAACUCCUUGUUAAUCAGAUGUUUCCCUGAGCCAAAUGAACCCCACUUGCAUAACUCACGCACUGGGGGUUCUGCACCACCGUGGAUGGGAUCGUGUCUGGCAGCUGAUGGCCGAGAGGACACUGUUGGGACCCCAUGGCAGUGGGUCCAGGAAGGAUACUCGUGUGGCCUGUGAACUGGUUAGAAGUCUACAGUCUUCUGAAAUCCAAGGCAUCUUACUUGCUCCCAUAUUUUGCUUUCUUCCUGAGAAACAACGUUUUCUAGAGCUCUGCUGUAGCAUGCAGCCUGAAUCUCCUAAGCAGCGCUGAAGGUGACUGCAACUCACAAAGGAUGUUGCCAUUAGAAGAAGCAAAGCUAUCCUACUCCCCAUCAAUAUCCUGGAAGGAGUACAGAAACAAGGCAAUUUUCAGGAAUUGUGUCUAAUAUUUUCCUAUUAGCGAUAGCAAACUUCAGAAAUCUCCAUGGCAAGUUCCAGGCAUUCACCAGUCUCAUGGCAGGACUCAAAAAGGCUGCAAUCAAUGUCACAGUCACAG